GAUGAAAACGCAGCGAAAUGCGAUAAGUAAUGUGAAUUGCAGAAUUCAGUGAAUCAUCGAAUCUUUGAACGCACAUUGCGCCCCCUGGUAUUCCGGGGGGCAUGCCUGUUCGAGCGUCAUUUCACCACUCAAGCCUCGCUUGGUAUUGGGCAACGCGGUCCGCCGCGUGCCUCAAAUCGACCGGCUGGGUCUUCUGUCCCCUAAGCGUUGUGGAAACUAUUCGCUAAAGGGUGCUCGGGAGGCUACGCCGUAAAACAAACCCAUUUCUAAGGUUGACCUCGGAUCAGGUAGGGAUACCCGCUGAACUUAAGCAUAUCAAUAAGCGGAGGA
rnacentral:misc_RNA from 1 species